rnacentral:rRNA from 1 species
GACGGACUUUGGCGGCGUGCUUAACACAUGCAAGUCGAACGGAAAGGCCCUGCUUUUGUGGGGUGCUCGAGUGGCGAACGGGUGAGUAACACGUGAGUAACCUGCCCUUGACUUUGGGAUAACUUCAGGAAACUGGGGCUAAUACCGGAUAGGAGCUCCUGCUGCAUGGUGGGGGUUGGAAAGUUUCGGCGGUUGGGGAUGGACUCGCGGCUUAUCAGCUUGUUGGUGGGGUAGUGGCUUACCAAGGCUUUGACGGGUAGCCGGCCUGAGAGGGUGACCGGCCACAUUGGGACUGAGAUACGGCCCAGACUCCUACGGGAGGCAGCAGUGGGGAAUAUUGCACAAUGGGCGGAAGCCUGAUGCAGCAACGCCGCGUGCGGGAUGACGGCCUUCGGGUUGUAAACCGCUUUCGCCUGUGACGAAGCGUGAGUGACGGUAAUGGGUAAAGAAGCACCGGCUAACUACGUGCCAGCAGCCGUGGUGAUACGUAGGGUGCGAGCGUUGUCCGGAUUUAUUGGGCGUAAAGGGCUCGUAGGUGGUUGAUCGCGUCGGAAGUGUAAUCUUGGGGCUUAACCCUGAGCGUGCUUUCGAUACGGGUUGACUUGAGGAAGGUAGGGGAGAAUGGAAUUCCUGGUGGAGCGGUGGAAUGCGCAGAUAUCAGGAGGAACACCAGUGGCGAAGGCGGUUCUCUGGGCCUUUCCUGACGCUGAGGAGCGAAAGCGUGGGGAGCGAACAGGCUUAGAUACCCUGGUAGUCCACGCUGUAAACGGUGGGUACUAGGUGUGGGGUCCAUUCCACGGGUUCCGUGCCGUAGCUAACGCUUUAAGUACCCCGCCUGGGGAGUACGGCCGCAAGGCUAAAACUCAAAGGAAUUGACGGGGCCCCGCACAAGCGGCGGAGCAUGCGGAUUAAUUCGAUGCAACGCGUAGAACCUUACCUGGGUUUGACAUGGAUCGGGAGUGCUCAGAGAUGGGUGUGCCUCUUUUGGGGUCGGUUCACAGGUGGUGCAUGCCUGUCGUCAGCUCGUGUCGUGAGAUGUUGGGUUAAGUCCCGCAACGAGCGCAACCCUUGUUCACUGUUGCCAGCACGUUAUGGUGGGGACUCAGUGGAGACCGCCGGGGUCAACUCGGAGGAAGGUGGGGAUGACGUCAAGUCAUCAUGCCCCUUAUGUCCAGGGCUUCACGCAUGCUACAAUGGCUGGUACAGAGAGUGGCGAGCCUGUGAGGGUGAGCGAAUCUCGGAAAGCCGGUCUCAGUUCGGAUUGGGGUCUGCAACUCGACCUCAUGAAGUCGGAGUCGCUAGUAAUCGCAGAACAGCAACGCUGCGGUGAAUACGUUCCCGGGGCC